UACGUAGGGUGCGAGCGUUAAUCGGAAUUACUGGGCGUAAAGCGUGCGCAGGCGGCUUGCCAAGUCAGAUGUGAAAGCCCCGGGCUCAACCCGGGAACGGCGUUUGAAACUGGCAGGCUAGAGUUUGGCAGAGGGGGGUGGAAUUCCACGUGUAGCAGUGAAAUGCGUAGAUAUCGGGAGGAACACCUGUGACGAAAGCGGCUCACUGGACCGCAACUGACGCUGAGGCGCGAAAGCUAGGGGAGCAAACAGG
rnacentral:rRNA from 1 species